AUUGAACGCUGGCGGCAGGCCUAACACAUGCAAGUCGAACGAGUGGCGGACGGGUGAUUAAUGUCUGGGCACCUUCCUGAUGGAGGGGUAUAACUACUGGAAACGGUAGCUACUACCGCCUACCAUCGCAUGUGCCCAGAUGGGAUUAGCUAGUAGGUGGGGUACAGGCUAACCUAGGCGACGAUCCCUAGCUGGUCUGAGAGGAUGACCAGCGAAACUGGGACGGAGAAACGGGCGAGACUCCUACGGGAGGCAGAAGGGGGGAAUAUUGCACAAUGGGGGAAAGCCUGAUCCAGCCAUCCCGCGUGUGCGAUGAAGGCCUUCGGGGUGGAAAGCACUUUUGGCAGGAAAGCGUUACCUGCAGAAUAAGCACCGGCUAACUACGUGCCAGCAGCGGCGGUAAUUC
rnacentral:rRNA from 1 species